UCUGCCUAUUAGUGGGGGACAACAUUCCGAAAGGAAUGCUAAUACCGCAUACGUCCUACGGGAGAAAGCAGGGGAUCUUCGGACCUUGCGCUAAUAGAUGAGCCUAAGUCGGAUUACCUAGUUGGUGGGGUAAAGGCCUACCAAGGCGACGAUCUGUAGCGGGUCUGAGAGGAUGAUCCGCCACACUGGGACUGAGACACGGCCCAGACUCCUACGGGAGGCAGCAGUGGGGAAUAUUGGACAAUGGGCGGAAGCCUGAUCCAGCCAUGCCGCGUGUGUGAAGAAGGCCUUUUGGUUGUAAAGCACUUUAAGCGAGGAGGAGGCUACUCUAGUUAAUACCUAGAGAUAGUGGACGUUACUCCCAGAAUAAGCACCGGCUAACUCUGUGCCAGCAGCCGCGGUAAUACAGAGGGUGCGAGCGUUAAUCGGAUUUACUGGGCGUAAAGCGUGCGUAGGCGGCUGAUUAAGUCGGAUGUGAAAUCCCUGAGCUUAA
rnacentral:rRNA from 1 species